UACCGUCGUCAGCUACACUCUGCCUGAUGACGUCAUAGCUCUCUAACGGACGCUCUGAUUGGUCAACUCAGUGGUGGUAGUUAUACAUGCAAGACAGAGAGGGAGAGAGAAGGGGAGAGAUGAUAGAAAGCUAGAGAAGAAGAGAAAAGCAGUGAAUAUGUGAAACAGUGAGGAUAACAAAAGAGAAUGAGUAAAAGAAAAAUAACUGAAAGAAUACUAAAUGAGCCACAAGAAGAAUAUGGAUCAAGGCUUGAAGCAUAAACAUCAGGAAUUACUGAAAGAAGGUAAAAAUUACCCUGUUGUUUUUGGUUUAAUUUUCAAGACACCUGUCUGGAAAAGAAUUGGGAAGAGGAAACAAGCGAAAACCAAAACUCCUACUAAGUAAUGAGCCAUUAUUGGAAUCUGGAACAGUUUGGCCUGAAAGUAUAAAGAAGAAUUGAAAGAUUAUUUGUUACUGGACUGUGGUCAUGCCGGAGCAAUGCCUUGCAUAGUUUAGUAGAACAAAUUGACUCCAUACUUAUUUUUAAAAUUUGGUUCUUAUUCUACCCUUUUGCUAAACUACUAUGUUAUGGGGACAUGAACAAACCAGCACUGGUUGUCAAGCAAGGACAAACUCAAACACAAAGAAACAUGCACGCAUGCAUGCAUACAGGCACACUCAUGUAUAUGUAUGAUAAACUUCCACACAGUUUCCAUCUACUAAAUUAACUCACAAAGCAAAGGUUGGCCCAAGGCUAUUGUGGAAGACACCUGCCUAAAAUGCUGUAUAGUGUGGCUACAAAGUGAACUUCUUAACCACGCAGUCAUUACAAAAGUUGUUAUCAAAAUAAGAAAUUGUUAUUUUGUCUCCUUGACACCAAGCAAAAAUGUAUCAAAUGUCUUAUUUGCCAAGUUAUUAUUUGAAAAAUAAAAAAAUAGGGUUGGGCCAUCAGUAAAAUUACACAAAAUGAAAGUGUAUUUGAUAAUGUCACUGUAAAAUGGUUGAACGACCUUGGAGAGGAUUCAAGAAUAAAAUUUUACAAAGCUAAAUUUAGAGUAGAUAAAAUAAAAUAAAAGAAAAAAACAUGGAAUUGAAGAGUGAAAGUAAUAUUAAAAAAAGAAAAUAAAUUGAUUGAUUUAAAUAACUACUGAAAUUUUUAAAUAUUUUGUGUGUAUU